UGGGGAAUUUUGGACAAUGGGGGAAACCCUGAUCCAGCCAUCCCGCGUGUGCGAUGAAGGCCUUCGGGUUGUAAAGCACUUUUGGCAGGAAAGAAACGUCAUGGGUUAAUACCCCGUGAAACUGACGGUACCUGCAGAAUAAGUACCGGCUAACUACGUGCCAGCAGCCGCGGUAAUACGUAGGGUGCAAGCGUUAAUCGGAAUUACUGGGCGUAAAGCGUGCGCAGGCGGUUCGGAAAGAAAGAUGUGAAAUCCCAGAGCUCAACUUUGGAACUGCAUUUUUAACUACCGGUCUAGAGUGUGUCAGAGGGAGGUGGAAUUCCGCGUGUAGCAGAGAAAUGCGUAGAUAUGCGGAGGAACACCGAUGGCGAAGGCAGCCUCCUGGGAUAACACUGACGCUCAUGCACGAAAGCGUGGGGAGCAAACAGG
rnacentral:rRNA from 1 species